rnacentral:rRNA from 1 species
CCUACGGGAGGCAGCAGUGGGGAAUCUUGCGCAAUGGGCGAAAGCCUGACGCAGCAACGCCGCGUGCGGGAUGAAGGCCCUAGGGUUGUAAACCGCUUUCAGUAGGAACGAAAAUGACGGUACCUGCAGAAGAAGGUGCGGCCAACUACGUGCCAGCAGCCGCGGUGACACGUAGGCACCAAGCGUUGUCCGGAUUUAUUGGGCGUAAAGAGCUCGUAGGCGGUUUAGUAAGUCGGGUGUGAAAACUCUGGGCUUAACCCAGAGCCGCCACUCGAUACUGCUGUGACUUGAGUUCGGUAGGGGAGCAGGGAAUUCCUAGUGUAGCGGUGAAAUGCGCAGAUAUUAGGAGGAACACCGGUGGCGAAGGCGCUGCUCUGGGCCGAUACUGACGCUGAGGAGCGAAAGCGUGGGUAGCAAACAGGAUUAGAUACCCUGGUAGUCCACGCCGUAAACGUUGGGCACUAGGUGUGGGUUCCAACCAACGGAAUCCGCGCCGUCGCUAACGCAUUAAGUGCCCCGCCUGGGGAGUACGGCGGCAACGCUAAAACUCAAAUGAAUUGACGG